UAGCUAGUUGGUGAGGUAAAGGCUUACCAAGGCGACGAUCUGUAGCGGGUCUGAGAGGAUGAUCCGCCACACUGGAACUGAGACACGGUCCAGACUCCUACGGGAGGCAGCAGUGGGGAAUUUUGGACAAUGGGGGCAACCCUGAUCCAGCCAUGCCGCGUGAGUGAAGAAGGCCUUCGGGUUGUAAAGCUCUUUCGGCCGGGAAGAAAUCGCAUAGGCCAAUACCCUGUGUGGAUGACGGUACCGGAAUAAGAAGCACCGGCUAACUACGUGCCAGCAGCCGCGGUAAUACGUAGGGUGCGAGCGUUAAUCGGAAUUACUGGGCGUAAAGCGUGCGCAGGCGGUUUUGUAAGACAGGCGUGAAAUCCCCGGGCUUAACCUGGGAACUGCGUUUGUGACUGCAAGGCUAGAGUACGGCAGAGGGGGGUGGAAUUCCACGUGUAGCAGUGAAAUGCGUAGAGAUGUGGAGGAACACCAAUGGCGGAGGCAGCCCCCUGGGUCGAUACUGACGCUCAUGCACGAAAGCGUGGGUAGCAAACAGGAUUAGAUACCCUGGUAGUCCACGCCCUAAACUAUGUCAACUAGGUGUUGGGUGGGUAAAACCAUUUAGUACCGUAGCUAACGCGUGAAGUUGACCGCCUGGGGAGUACGGCCGCAAGGUUAAAACUCAAAGGAAUUGACGGGGACCCGCACAAGCGGUGGAUGAUGUGGAUUAAUUCGAUGCAACGCGAAAAACCUUACCUACCCUUGACAUGCCAGGAACUUGCCAGAGAUGGCUUGGUGCCCGAAAGGGAGCCUGGACACAGGUGCUGCAUGGCUGUCGUCAGCUCGUGUCGUGAGAUGUUGGGUUAAGUCCCGCAACGAGCGCAACCCUUGUCGUUAAUUGCCAUCAUUUGGUUGGGCACUUUAACGAGACUGCCGGUGACAAACCGGAGGAAGGUGGGGAUGACGUCAAGUCCUCAUGGCCCUUAUGGGUAGGGCUUCACACGUCAUACAAUGGUCGGUACAAAGGGUUGCCAAGCCGCGAGGCGGAGCCAAUCCCAGAAAGCCGAUCGUAGUCCGGAUUGCAGGCUGCAACUCGCCUGCAUGAAGUCGGAAUCGCUAGUAAUCGUGGAUCAGCAUGUCACGGUGAAUACGUUCCCGGGUCUUGUACACACCGCCCGUCACACCAUGGGAGCGGGUUCCGCCAGAAGUAGGUAGCCUAACCGCAAGGGGGGCGCUUACCACGGCGGGGUUCGUGACUGGGGUGAAGUCGUAACAAGGUAGCCGUAGGGGAACCUGCGGCUG
rnacentral:rRNA from 1 species